GACGAACGCUGGCGGCGUGCCUAAUACAUGCAAGUCGAGCGGAAUGAUGAAGAAGCUUGCUUCCUCUGAUUUUAGCGGCGGACGGGUGAGUAACACGUGGGCAACCUACCUUGUAGAUUGGGAUAACUCCGGGAAACCGGGGCUAAUACCGAAUAAUCCAUUUUGCUUCAUGGCGAGAUGUUGAAAGACGGUUUCGGCUGUCACUACAAGAUGGGCCCGCGGCGCAUUAGCUAGUUGGUAGGGUAAUGGCCUACCAAGGCGACGAUGCGUAGCCGACCUGAGAGGGUGAUCGGCCACACUGGGACUGAGACACGGCCCAGACUCCUACGGGAGGCAGCAGUAGGGAAUCUUCCACAAUGGACGAAAGUCUGAUGGAGCAACGCCGCGUGAGUGAAGAAGGUUUUCGGAUCGUAAAACUCUGUUGUAAGGGAAGAACACGUACGAGAGUAACUGCUCGUACCUUGACGGUACCUUAUUAGAAAGCCACGGCUAACUACGUG
rnacentral:rRNA from 1 species